rnacentral:miRNA from 1 species
CAAAGCUUUUAAUAUCAGUCGA